rnacentral:rRNA from 1 species
AUGGCUUGUGUCACGUCGGUGAAGUACUCGGUAAAAUUUAAUGGGAAGCUACUGGAGUCCUUCCCUCCUUCAAGGGGACUCCUUCAAGGUGAUCCAUUGUCUCCAUUCCUCUUCUUAUUUGUAGCUAAUGCUCUUUCUGCGUUGAUUGAAAAGCCUGCAAGGGAAGAUGGUCUUAGUGGAGUCAAGAUAAGUAGAGGUGCUCCGGAGAUUACACACCUGUUGUUUGCGGAUGAUUCACUUCUAUUUUUUCAUGCAACAAAUCAGCAGGCAUUGUUAGUGAAAGGGGUGUUGAACACAUUUGCGACGGCAACUGGACAACUUAUUAACCCGUCGAAGUGUUCCAUUCUAUUCUCAAAUCAGUGUCAACCUGAUGUGGUUCAAGAGGUAAAAAACACGUUGGAUAUCACCCAAGAGGCGUUCGAGCCAAAGUAUUUGGGCUUGCCGGUUCCCGAGGGGAGGAUGCAUAAGGGGAAUUUUGAGACUAUCCAAGAGCGUUUGAGGAAAAUUCUUGUGGAUUGGAGUGAGCAGUACAUGUCGUCCGGGAAUAAGGAGGUCCUUAUCAAAUCAGUGGCACAGGCCAUACCAGCAUAUGUUAUGAGUGUAUUCAAAAUCCCGGCUUCGGUCUGUGAUGAUCUAACACGGAUGAUACGCCAGUAUUGGUGGGGGUGGAGAACGGGAAGAAGAAGAUGGCCUGGAUGA